rnacentral:rRNA from 1 species
GGCGGCAGGCAUAACACAUGCAAGUCGAGCGGUAACAGGCGAAGCUUGCUUCUCGCUGACGAGCGGCGGACGGGUGAGUAAUGUAUGGGGAUCUGCGCGAUAGAGGGGGAUAACUACUGGAAACGGUAGCUAAUACCGCAUAAUCUCUUUGGAGCAAAGCAGGGGAACUUCGGUCCUUGCGUUAUCAGAUGAACCCAUAUCGGAUGAGAUAGUUGGUGAGGUAAGGUCUCCACAAGGCGACGAUCCAUAGGUCGUGUGAGAGGAUUAUCAGCCACACUGGGAGUGAGACACGCCCCAGUCUCAUACGAGAGGCAGCAGUGGAGUAUUUUGCACAAUGGGAGCAUGCGUGAUGCAGCCAUGCCGUGAGUAUGAAGAAGGCCCUAGUGUUAUAAAUUACUUUCAGUGGGGAGGAAGGUGCUGAUGGUAAAAUCAUCAACGAUGGACGUUACCAACCGAAGAAGCACGGGUAAAUUCCGUGCCGCCAGCCGCGUUAAUAGGGAGGGGCCAAGCUUUUCUGGAAAUUAUUGGGGGUAAAGCGCACCCGGGCGGUUGAUUAAUUUAGAUGUGAAAUCCCCGGGUCUACCGUGGGAAGUCCAUGUAAGAUGGGUAAGUUAGAGUCAGAAGGAGGGGGGUGGAUUUCCAUGGGUAGCGGUGAAUUGGGUAGGGAUGUGGAGGACUACCGGUGGGGAGGGGGGUCUCUUGUACAAAGACUGACGUUCAGGUGCGAAAGCGUGGGAGCAACCAGGAUUAGAUACCCUGGUUGUCCAGGCUGUAAACGAUGUCGAUAAGGAGGGAUUCCUCGAGGAGUGGCUUCCGGAGCAAACGCGUAAAUAGACCGCCUGGGAAU